rnacentral:lncRNA from 1 species
UUUAGUUCAAUAUGGAUCAUAUCUGAUAUUAGUAGCCAUUGAGAAACAAGUUAAAAAGUAUAUACUAUUGAAUUUUGCAGGGUGAACACCUCUAUAAUUUCGUACUAACCAUCAAAAUGCGACGAGUUCUCACAGCUCUUAAGAAACCUCUGAAACUCGGUCUGCACUGCAAGUAGAUAAUGAACAGUCCUGCUGUUCUUAAAACUUGAUCAGUUUCCUAGUUCUUUGCACCAAAGCCACGUGGACUUGGUCUUGUUGAUGCGUAUUCUGCAAACUGCAUUCUGGAUUCUGAUCUCCUCGCUCUUCUUGCAGUACCAGGAGGAGCCUUAUACAUGGAAGAAACAACAAAAAACAUCAAUUAUUACAGAAUAUAGCUUGCCUAAAAAUAAUUGAAGUGGCAUACGAGUCCUGUUAGAAUUCCAUCAAUCUUAAAUGAGUUUAUAGUUGCACAAAACUUUCCAAAUAAGUGUAUAUACAAAGUUGCAGACAAAGCACACCUUUAUCUAUCUGUUCAACACAAGAAAAUAAUUUGCAUGGAUGAAUAACCUAAGGAUGUUGCAUCAAAUUUCAUGACAGAUGCUAUUGAUAUUACCUGAAGCCGUCCUACAUCUACCUUCUUCUUUUUGGCCUAUUCUAAACCUUUCUUUUCUAUUUCAUAUGGUUUAACCUCGGUUCCCGCUUUAUAAACAGGAACUCCCACCUGUAAACAUAGCACAAGAGAUAAUCUUUUUGGAUAAAGACUAAUGAUGGGUAAAUAUAUUUGUCAUAACAAAUUUUCCAGUUCAUGCAUUAAGCUGGACCAAUGGUCCAAAAGGCAGAGCCAUAAGGAGCAAUAUGAACUCAAUUGUUUACGUGUGUACUCAUAAGUCUGGUACUUUUAACUCGUUUGAAACUAAAAACAAUUGGUAUUGUGUGCAAACUAAUGGCAUCUUCCCUUUUUUAAGAUAAUUAGCUAACUUUGAACAAACACCUGUCUUUCCAACCCCUGCAGACCAGCGAAUAAUAAAACAGUAGGGCCGAAAAUGACCGCAAGCGACAGUCGAAAAGUGCAUGGCUUCUAUUGCUCCUCCCCCCUUCUUUCUGAUUAGAUAUAAUCCAUUAUCUUGUUAUUGAAUUCCCUGCUACGCAGUUCACCUUUGCUAUUUUACAUCCAAGCUUUAGUCCGAUCGUGGCAUUACGUGUAGCGUUUCACUACUUUUUCCUGUCCCCGCCCAAAUAUAUAUAACGGCUUCAACUUCUUCCCCGAAGUGCCAUUUUUUGCUUCCUAUGACUUGGAUUCCAUGGAACACUCAGUUGAGAGAGUUAGCAAAGCAAUGCCAAUACCUUGAAGCUCUAACUCUCUACCGCCAAAUGCUGCGUUGCGGUUCCUCCCCAAACGCCUUCUCUUUCCCUUUCGCUCUCAAAUCCUCCGCUUCCCUUCCCCUUCCUUUUUCCGGCCAACAACUCCACUGUCAAGUCAUCAAAUCCGGAUGCUCCCAGGAACCCUUUGUUCUUACUUCUCUCAUCUCUAUGUACUGCAAAUUCAGUUCCCUCGGAAACGCCCGCAAGGUGUUCGAUGAAAACCCAAUAUCCAAUCAAUUAACGGUUUGCUACAACGCUUUGAUUUCCGGGUACGCGUUAAAUUCCCGGUUUUUUGAUGUUAUUGCUUUGUUUUGUAGAAUGAGGGAAAUGGGCGUUUCGGUUAAUUCAGUUACAAUGUUGGGCUUGGUUCCGGUGUUCUCGGAACCUGGGUACAUAAGCGUAGGGAUGUGUUUUCAUUGUUGCUGUGUGAAGUUGGGGUUGAAUCUUGAUUUCUCUGUUGCUAAUUGUUUAGUUACAAUGUACGUGAAAUGCGGGGCCAUUGAGUUUGGUAGGAAUUUAUUUGAUGAGAUGCCCAAAAAGGGUUUGAUUACUUGGAACGCUAUGAUUUCAGGGUAUGCGCAGAAUGGACUUGCGGCUGAUGUUUUGGAACUCUAUAGGAAAAUGGAAACUGCGGGGGUUUGUCCAGAUGCGGUUACAUUUGUUGGGGUUUUAUCAUCUUGUGCUAAUCUUGGUGCUGUUAGUGUUGGCCACGAGGUUGAACAGCGAAUAGAGUCUAGUAGACUUGGUUUGAAUCCCUUUUUGAAUAAUGCAUUGAUUAAUAUGUAUGCUAGGUGUGGUAAUUUGGUCAAGGCUCGAGCUAAUUUUGAUGGCAUGCCUGUUAAAAGUGUGGUUUCAUGGACAGCGAUUAUAGGUGGAUAUGGAAUGCAUGGAUAUGGAGAGAUUGCAGUGGAGUUAUUUGAUGAGAUGAUUAAGAGUGGUAUUCGGCCUGAUGGUGCUGCAUUUGUGAGUGUUUUAUGUGCAUGCAGUCAUGCGGGGUUGACUGAAAAAGGCUUGGAAUAUUUUUCAGAAAUGAAGAUGAAGCAUCGGUUGCAGCCGGGUCCAGAGCAUUAUUCUUGUGUGGUGGAUCUUCUAGGUCGGGCUGGUCGGCUAAAUGAAGCUUUGGAGCUCAUUAAAUCAAUGCAGGUAAAGCCAGAUGGUGCAGUCUGGGGAGCCCUUUUGGGUGCCUGCAAAAUUCACCGAAAUGUAGAGAUGGCAGAGUUGGCGUUUGAACGAGUUAUUGAGUUUGAGCCCACAAACAUCGGUUAUUAUGUUCUGCUAUCUAAUAUUUAUUCUGAAGCUGAGAAUUUGGAAGGAGUGUUGAAAGUUAGAGUAAUGAUGAGAGAGCGAAAGCUGAAAAAGGAUCCAGGAUUUAGCUAUGUCGAGUAUAAAGGAAGAGUGCACCUUUUCUUGGCCGGGGAUAGAAGCCAUCCUCAAAAGAAGGAGAUAUAUAGAAUGGUGGAUGAGCUGGAAGCUUUGGUGAAGAAACUUGCUGGCUGUAAAGACAAUGAAGAAAGGAGAAACAAAGAAGCUUUAAUUGGUAUGGGUGUUCAUAGUGAAAAGUUGGCAAUUGUGUUUGGACUAUUGAACUCUGAGCCAGGGACAGAGAUUGUGGUGAUAAAGAACCUUAGAAUGUGUGACGAUUGCCAUUUAUUUUUCAAGGGUGUCAGCAAGAUUGUGACUCGUCAGCUUGUUGUUAGAGAUGCAACCCGUUUCCACCACUUCAGAGAUGGACACUGUUCAUGCAAAGACUAUUGGUAAUACAAUACUCGCUUGAGGGUUCCAUUUGCGUUCCCUGGUAUCCUAGAUGUUCUGCAAAUAAUAAUAAAAAUAUGCAGUACAAAGAUUGAUUUCAUAUUGAAAUUAAGAAAUCUGUUGGAAGCCUGUGGAGUGCCGGUUCAGCUAGGUGGCUGCAAAUGCAAUAAUAUAUGCUCAAAUGCUCUAUGGAUACCAGAAAAUGAAACUGAGUCUAGAGAAAGGGCUGAUGAUCAACCAGCCAUUGAUUGAUCAUCCCUUAAGAAGCUAGUUUGCUCAACAGUCAGAAUGGCUGGCAUGGGAAUAUAGAUAUUGCUAACUCAUUCUGCCAUUGCUUAUUUUAAUUUACAUGUGCAUACAAUUCUGAAGAGAAAUCUGUCAAGCAAUUCUUAUUUCCGGUUGUAGCUGUUCCCUAUUUUGUACUUAUUUCCCUUCUGUACCAAUAGGUGACAACAGUUGCUUUGUAGAAUCAAUGCACCGAUUUCUUAUACUCCAAGUCUCAAAACCAGUCAAUUGUGGAUGAAACGAAUUACACCAUAUUCGAUGAAAUUCUAGUGUUAAAUUAGUUUUCUACAAUGUCUGGUCUCUGUGAACUGCAGUCAAAGCUUUGAAUUAGAGGAUUAAUUCACCUAUUCCAGAUAUGUCGAAACUCAAUAUAGAUGAAUACACUUUAACGAUCAGCUAAAAUAUACAUUGCAAAUUGCAAAUUGUUUGUGAGGUUCGUGUGGUCAUCAGAUGAUUCAACGAUUAUCUGAGAUGCCUGUCAAACGUGGCUAGUGUUGUUAAACAAAAACUUUUGAUACAAUUCAGCUGUAUAUGUUAGUAUGAUCAUAACCAACAUUCAUGCAUCCAUUUCCAGAGGCAGAUCACAUUAUUUUUUGCAUACCCUAGCAAAAACGAAGAUUAAAAACCCACCCUCUUAACACUUCAUUUUUUGGUUAACCAUGUCAAAAUGGUCAGCAAGGAGGUAAAAUAACUAACUAAAGCUAAACUAUUUUUCGUUAACACAAGAGUUAGAUAGAUAAUAUAUGUGAAACAAAAUGAUGAUGAUGUUUGUAUAUUUAUAUUCCAUAAUACCACAUUGUUAAGGUAUGCAACUGCAAUUUUCAGAUUGUUAGCUGGCAAUUUGGCUGUAAAACACUUAUGCAAAGUACACAUGAUGCUAAAAAAUGACAAGGCUGUCAUAGCUUUUGUGUGGAGGUAGGGGUGAGCAAAAUUCGAUUCGAUUCGAAAAAGUUGAAAAAAAUUUGAAUUUUGAAUUAUUCGAAUCGAGUUAAUCGAAUUAAUCAAGUUAAUCGAAUCAGCUCGAUUUUUUUUUCGAAUUUCAAGUUCGAGUCGAGUUGAAUUUUCGAAUUCGAAUAAUUCGAAUAAACCGAAUAUAAACUGUAUUUUUUUAUUUUUUAAAAUUUUAGGCUUUUAUUUAAACUCAAUUUCCCCCAAGCCCAAACAUUUUAUAUUUUCUAUUUCCCUAAGCCCGUCUGCCUAAGCCCCAAAGAUUUAUUUUCCCAAAUCUCAAUUCCUCCCCCAAAUCAAACCCCCAGCAAAUUCCAAACCCUAAAUUAUUUUUCUUCUUCUCUCUAUUUCCAUCCAAUUCAAACCCUAAAAUAAACCCUCAUUCCUUCUUCUUCUUCUUCUUCUUAAUUAUUUUUUAGUUAUUUACUCACUUAUUUAUUCACUUAUUUACUUCAAUUUUUUGUUGUAUGAAAAAAUAUUUUUUUUGAAAAAUUACAUAAAAAUAAACAACACUAAAGUUAUUUUUUUUAAAAAUUUAACUUGAACAAAUAUAUUCGAUUUGAUUCGAUUUAAAUUUCAUGUCACUCGACUCGAUUCGAGAAAACUUCAAAUUAAGUUAGAUGAUAAAAUAAGAUUCGAAAAUUCGAUUAAAUCGAAAAUUUCCGAUUCGAUCGAAUGCUCACCCCUAAUUAGAAGUGUGAAUCCAGUGCAGAAUCGUAAAUAAUAGCUUGAUGGUGAAGAGAAAAUCAGAUCACGUGUUAGAUAGAAUUAUAGCAGCUCUUUUCAAACCCAAUAAGAUGGUGUGAUUAUUGAACAAAAAAUGAGCACUUUCAGCUUGGGAAAUUUAAGAAGUUGGUUUGAUUCUGAGUAAACAAACAGCAUAUAAGUACCAACCUUGAAAGACUUAGCAAUGUGAUAUGGACCAAGUAACAACAUAUCAGUAUCAACCUUGGUUUGAUUUUGAGGGUCUUUGAUCACAUCCUAAGAUAAAAGAAUAACAUGAACAAAAUAAUAAGAAAAUGAAAGAAUACCUACGUCUGGC